AGAUGCGAUCAUACCAGCACUAAAGCACCGGAUCCCAUCAGAACUCUAAAGUUAAGCGUGCUUGGGCGAGAGUAGUACUAGGAUGGGCCCUCGUGUUGCAUUCC
rnacentral:rRNA from 2 species